rnacentral:rRNA from 1 species
UGAGGAACCCACCCCGGAGACCGGGAUAACCCCCCGAAAGGAGAGCUAAUACCGGAUGUCCUCAUCGGAUCGCAUGUUCUGAUGAGGAAAUGGAUUCCGCUCCGGGACGGCCUCGCGGCCUAUCAGCUAGUUGGUGAGGUAACGGCCCACCAAGGCUACGACGGGUAGCUGGUCUGAGAGGACGAUCAGCCACACUGGGACUGAGACACCGGCCCAGACCUCCGUACGGGAGCAGNAGG